GACGAACGCUGGCGGCGUGCCUAAUACAUGCAAGUCGAGCGAGCUUGCCUAGAUGAUUUUAGUGCUUGCACUAAAUGAAACUAGAUACAAGCGAGCGGCGGACGGGUGAGUAACACGUGGGUAACCUGCCCAAGAGACUGGGAUAACACCUGGAAACAGAUGCUAAUACCGGAUAACAACACUAGACGCAUGUCUAGAGUUUGCAAGAUGGUUCUGCUAUCACUCUUGGAUGGACUUGCGGUGCAUUAGCUAGUUGGUAAGGUAACGGCUUACCAAGGCAAUGAUGCAUAGCCGAGUUGAGAGACUGAUCGGCCACAUUGGGACGGAGACACGGCCCAAACUCCUACGGGAGGCAGCAGUAGGGAAUCUUACACAAUGGACGAAAGUCUGAUGGAGCAACGCCGCGUGAGUGAAGAAGGGUUUCGGCGCGUAAAGCUCUGUUGGUAGUGAAGAAAGAUAGUGGUAGUAACUGGCCUUUAUUUGACGGUAAUGACUUAGAAAGUCACGGCUAACUACGUG
rnacentral:rRNA from 1 species